rnacentral:rRNA from 1 species
UACGUAGGGUGCAAGCGUUGUCCGGAAUUAUUGGGCGUAAAGAGCUCGUAGGCGGUCUGUCGCGUCGGCUGUGAAAACCCGGAGCUCAACUCCGGGCCUGCAGUCGAUACGGGCAGACUGGAGUUCGGCAGGGGAGACUGGAAUUCCUGGUGUAGCGGUGAAAUGCGCAGAUAUCAGGAGGAACACCGGUGGCGAAGGCGGCGACCUGGUCCUUGACUGACGCUGAGGCGCGAAAGCGUGGGGAGCAAACAGG